rnacentral:lncRNA from 1 species
UGGGAACAGAGGUUUCUGAAGAAGAUAUUUGCAACAUUCUACAUCUGUGUACUCAGGCCAGACGAGUCCCAAACACAAAGGAAAGAUUUCACGAAUGCUGGCGGCCAAAACUGUGUUGGCUAUCAGAUACGACGCCUUUGGUGAAGAUUCCAGCUCUGCAAUGGGAGCUGAGAACAGAGCCAAAUUAGAGGCCAGAUUGAGGAUUUUGGAGGACAGAGGGAUAAGAAAAAUAAGUGGAACGGGAAAGGCAUUAGCAAAAGCAGAAAAGUAUGAACACAAAAGUGAAGUGAAGACUUACGAUCCCUCUGGUGACUCCACACUUCCAACUUGUUCUAAAAAACGCAAAAUAGAAGAGGUAGAUAAAGAGGAUGAAAUUACU